UCCCCUGUAGCUCAAUGGUAGAGCGUCCGGCUGUUAACCGGCAGGUUGGUGGUUCGAGUCCACCCGGGGGAGCCA
rnacentral:tRNA from 1 species